CCUUCUGGAUAACUGGCUCUUUCUUGUGUCCUGCAGGCCCGCGGCCAGGAGUGCGAGCCCAGUUUCCUGCUCCCGUAGAAGGCAUGGAAGAUGGCACUAGGGUUGCACAUCAUCUACAGCUCUGGGGUUUUUAUCCUCCUCUUCAACAUCACUGAAAUACAGAGAGCUUUGUGCCACAGGGGAAAACUCACAGGAGGCAAAUAUUCCCAAUGGGAAUGUAUUGUUCUUUGAAGAAUCCUAUCUGAGUUAUUUUGUCUUACAGGGAAAUCCAGGGUCUGUGUCCUGGAAAUGGAGAAAUCUACCCCAGUUCUUCAAGUGCUUGCACGUGUGCUGAGCUUG
rnacentral:lncRNA from 1 species